GAUGAACGCUGGCGGCGUGCCUAAUACAUGCAAGUCGAGCGAACAGAUGAGGAGCUUGCUCCUCUGACGUUAGCGGCGGACGGGUGAGUAACACGUGGAUAACCUACCUAUAAGACUGGGAUAACUUCGGGAAACCGGAGCUAAUACCGGAUAAUAUAUUGAACCGCAUGGUCCAAUAGUGAAAGACGGUUUUGCGGUCACUUAUAGAUGGAUCCGCGCUGCAUUAGCUAGUUGGUAAGGUAACGGCUUACAAAGGCAACGAUGCGUAGCCGACCUGAGAGGGUGAUCGGCCACACUGGAACUGAGACACGGUCCAGACUCCUACGGGAGGCAGCAGUAGGGAAUCUUCCGCACAGGGCGAAAGCCUGACGGAGCAACGCCGCGUGAGUGAUGAAGGUCUUCGGAUCGUAAAACUCUGUUAUUAGGGAAGAACAAAUGUGUAAGUAGCUAUGCACGUCUUGACGGUACCUAAUCAGAAAGCCACGGCUAACUACGUG
rnacentral:rRNA from 1 species